AUUGAACGCUGGCGGCAGGCCUAACACAUGCAAGUCGAACGAGUGGCGGACGGGUGAGUAAUGUCUGGGAAACUGCCCGAUGGAGGGGGAUAACUACUGGAAACGGUAGCUAAUACCGCAUACCAUCGGAUGUGCCCAGAUGGGAUUAGCUGGUGGGUGGGGUAACGGCUCACCUAGGCGACGAUCCCUAGCUGGUCUGAGAGGAUGACCAGCCACACGAGACCGAGGACACGGUCCAGCCUCCUCCGGGGGGCAGCAGUGGGGAAUUUUGCGCAAUGGGGGCAAGCCUGAUGCAGCCAGGCCUGGUGGAUGAAGAAGGCCUUCGGGUUUUAAGGUACGUUCAGCGAGGAGGCGUUACUCGCAGAAGAAGCACCGGCUAACUCCGUGCCAGCAGCCGCGGUAAUAC
rnacentral:rRNA from 1 species